AAAAAAACAAAGAAAAAGAGGAGUAUGUUUAUACUUGCUUAAAAGAGAAAAGAAGUCAUAGGCUGUAAGCUUCUUAAGAAAAAGGUAAACAAAAGGUAGCUUUGGAGUUGAUAUAUUGAAAUUAAAGUAAAUAUAUUCGCAUAAGCAGCGUUAAAGGCUAAUUGAGAUAAUAUUUAUAAAAUAAAUAUUAAUUAAGGUGGUACCGUGAGAAAUAAUGCUCGCCCUUAUU
rnacentral:ncRNA from 1 species